rnacentral:tRNA from 1 species
AAUUUAUUAGCAAAUUCAAUUACGCUGGUUUUGCAUUCCAGAAUUAGAGUCAGUUGUUGACUAUGAAUUA